rnacentral:rRNA from 2 species
UACGGAGGGUGCAAGCGUUAUCCGGAUUCACUGGGUUUAAAGGGUGCGUAGGAGGGUAGGUAAGUCAGUGGUGAAAUCUUCGAGCUUAACUCGGAAACUGCCGUUGAUACUAUCUAUCUUGAAUACCGUGGAGGUGAGCGGAAUAUGUCAUGUAGCGGUGAAAUGCUUAGAUAUGACAUAGAACACCAAUUGCGAAGGCAGCUCGCUACACGAAUAUUGACUCUGAGGCACGAAAGCGUGGGGAUCAAACAGG